rnacentral:tRNA from 1 species
UAAAAAUUAGUUAAUCUAUAUAACAUUAGUUUGUCAAACUAAAAUAAUCGUCCCCGAUAUUUUUAU